CCGUCUGUAGCUCAGUUGGAUAGAGCAUUCGCCUUCUAAGCGAACGGUCGGGGGUUCAAUUCCCUCCAGACGGACCA
rnacentral:tRNA from 1 species